GUACCUACUUCAGCAGGACACAGAAUAAAAUUGGAAUGAUAUAGAGAAGGUUAGUGUGGCCCCUGUGCUAGAAUGACACGCAUAUUUGUGAAAUGUUUCAGGCUUUU
ensembl:snRNA U6 U6 spliceosomal RNA